rnacentral:lncRNA from 1 species
AUGAAACAAUUCUAACCAGAACUACUCUUGUAAACAUCUCCCUGGCAAUCUCGCCUAGCAUCAAUCUUACGCGCAGCUUACACAAGUGAUCAUCUUAAUCCCUAGCUGAAAGGGUUAGAAAAAAAUAGCAAGGGUGAGCGAAAAUGCUCAGCAAAGUAAUAUGAAAGGCAAGAGCCACAAGAUAUGAUUUCUUUUUAAUUAAAUUAGAGUAUUUGAAAUAAAGCAAACUUUUGAAGUAAAUCAUAACAGUUGUGUAACUCAAAAUUUUAUCAAACAUAUAAAUCCAUAUGCUUGUAAAUUCACAGAAUAUAUUUGACAGUAAACAAAAGCUAUCACAAGCUUAAACAAUAAUGACCAGGUUUUAAACAACGGCGUACUAUCACAGCUGAUCAGACC